AUACAGUGAUGAUCUACUUCUGGUUUCGCUUUUUGCUGAGAUCCAGUGAUGUUGCCUUUCUCUUGGCUGUCUGAGUGU